rnacentral:rRNA from 1 species
UACGUAGGUGACAAGCGUUGUCCGGAUUUACUGGGCGUAAAGAGCGCGCAGGCGGUCGUUCAAGUCGAGUGUGAAAGCCCCCGGCUCAACUGGGGAGGGUCACUCGAUACUGAUCGACUUGAAGGCAGGAGAGGGAAGCGGAAUUCCCGGUGUAGCGGUGAAAUGCGCAGAUAUCAGGAAGAACACCCGUGGCGAAGGCGGCUCUCUGGGACGGUACUGACGCUGAGACGCGAAAGCGUGGGGAGCGAACAGG